CUUGUUAUUGUUUUUAUUACUUAAAAUUUUUUCGUAGAUAAAUAGUCAUCAGUAAUUACCACCAGAUUAUGAUUGUCAAUAAAAUUCGUUGGUUAAAAUCACAAUUGAGUCUUCUUCCUUCUCAUUUACCUCUUUUUUUUUUCUUCUUCCUCCUUUCUUCCUUGUUGCUCCUCCACCGUCCCACCGCCGCCUUCGGCUCAUCCUCUUCUUAUUUCUUCUUUUCUUCUUUCAUCUUCCUCUUCCACCACCUUUAUCUCUAAGAACUAUGAUCGUCUCACAUCACCACUGCACUUUUGCAUUGCCACCUAGUUUUCAAUGUUGUCAUUGCCACAUAUCCCUUGUCGUCAUUGCACAUCAAUUGCUAUCAUUGUUGUGCUUUUGUUGUCAUCUUUGAUGCAUUUCUGUUGCUACUACCAACUUUGACCUUCUCCUUCCACUCCACCUGAUAACACUCUAAAUUUGCACAUUUAUCUCUUAUAAAAAGAAUUUUUUAGAUUUCUUUAGCUUUUAAUU
rnacentral:lncRNA from 1 species